AACUAGAUGCUCGAGUGCAAUUAAUGCUGCUUCAAAGUUUAAAAACUCUCUUUGGUCACAAAGGUGUUUGAGGUCAUUGUAUUGCUCCUCAAGCAUCUUGAGUACUUCCUCACGUAUUUUCUCCUUGAUCCUAUUCUUCCAAGAUUUCAAUGCUUCCUUCGAGAAGGAUUUCAUGAAUAUCCAGGAGAGGAUAGCAGAAUUAGGCAUGGCCUCUUUAAACCAGACAUCAAGGGAAGCCCCGAACUAAGAACAAUAACAUUUUUCUUAUUCUCCAUGCUCUCAGAUAUGCCGUUUGCUUUAUCCAAAGAAGUACACCUUUUCUCUAAAUCUGAAAACAAAUCACAAUGAUCGAUUUUCUCUGAAUUCAAGGAUUUUUCCAAGUUGGUUAGCUCUUAAGAAGCAUAUUGGCAUGCAAUCUAGUCCAUACUUAUGAAACAGACAACUUGAACUAAUGCCUUGUACAUCAUCCCUUGUAAAUUGCAAAACCCUAUUGGCAAGAAAUUUAC
rnacentral:lncRNA from 1 species